AUUGAACGCUGGCGGCAGGCUUAACACAUGCAAGUCGAGCGGGGUGAUGGUGCUUGCACUAUCACUUAGCGGCGGACGGGUGAGUAAUGCUUAGGAAUCUGCCUAUUAGUGGGGGACAACAUCUCGAAAGGGAUGCUAAUACCGCAUACGUCCUACGGGAGAAAGCAGGGGAUCACUUGUGACCUUGCGCUAAUAGAUGAGCCUAAGUCGGAUUAGCUAGUUGGUGGGGUAAAGGCCUACCAAGGCGACGAUCUGUAGCGGGUCUGAAAGGAUGAUCGGCGACACUGGGACUGAGACACGGCCCAGACUCCUCGGGGAGGCAGCAGUGGGGAAUAUUGAAGAAUGGGGGGAACCCUGAUCCAGCCAUGCCGCGUGUGUGAAGAAGGCCUUAUGGUUGUAAAGCACUUUAGGCGAGGAGGAGGCUCUUUUGGUUAAUACCCAAGAUGAGUGGACGUUACUCGCAGAAUAAGCACCGGCUAACUCUGUGCCAGCAGCCGCCGUAA
rnacentral:rRNA from 1 species